GAUGAACGCUGGCGGCGUGCUUAACACAUGCAAGUCGAACGAGAAGUGAAGACGGAAACCUUCGGGCGGAAGGCUUUAUUUCGAGUGGCGGACGGGUGAGUAAAGCGUGGGUAACCUGCCUCAUACAGGGGGGUAAAAGUUGGAAACGACUGUUAAUACCGCAUAAGACCACAGCACCGCAUGGUGCGGGGGUAAAAAGUCAGGUGGUAUGAGAUGGAUUCGCGUUCGAUUGGCCAGUUGGCGGGGUAACGGCCCACCAAAGCGACGAUCGAUAGCCGGUCUGAGAGGAUGACCGGCCACAUUGGGACUGAGACACGGCCCAGACUCCUGCAGGAGGCAGCAGUGGGGAAUAUUGCACAAUGGGGGAAACCCUGAUGCAGCGACGCCGCGUGAGUGAAGAAGUAUUGCGGUAUGUAAAGCUCUAUCAGCAGGGAAGAAAAUGACGGUACCUGGGUAAGAAGCCCCGGCUAACUACGUG
rnacentral:rRNA from 1 species